rnacentral:rRNA from 1 species
UACGUAGGGUGCAAGCGUUGUCCGGAAUUAUUGGGCGUAAAGAGCUCGUAGGCGGCCAACUAAGUCAGACGUGAAAUCCCUCGGCUUAACCGGGGAACUGCGUCUGAUACUGGAUGGCUUGAGUUUGGGAGAGGGAUGCGGAAUUCCAGGUGUAGCGGUGAAAUGCGUAGAUAUCUGGAGGAACACCGAUGGCGAAGGCAGGUCUCUGGGCCAUAACUGACGCUGAGAAGCGAAAGCAUGGGGAGCGAACAGG